rnacentral:tmRNA from 1 species
GGGGCAGUUUCAGUUUCGAUUGCGGCGGGGAGACGACGUAAGCAUACCAAAGGCUCGGCUUUGUAAAAACGGAAUUUUAAAUUUAAACGCAGAUAACAAAUCUGAAAAAGUAAUGGCUUUCCCUGCAAGGGCUAGCCUUGCUUGCGCAGCUUAAACUUUAGCUGUCCGCCGCGGCACUUUCUUUCGCCGAAGUGUUUGCGGCGCUUAAUCAGGCGGAACUUUAACGGCGGUUUAACCGGGCCCCGUUAAAGAACUUUUCGGUUUGCCCGUCCGUAUUGCCCGUUUACCGGCGUACGGCACGGAAAGAUAAUAGGUGAACUAAGUAUGUAGAAAGCGCGUCCGAACGACGUAAGACCGGGGUGCAAGUCCCCGCUGCUCCACCA